AACGAACGCUGGCGGCAGGCCUAACACAUGCAAGUCGAGCGCACCUUCGGGUGAGCGGCGGACGGGUGAGUAACGCGUGGGAAUAUGCCCUUCUCUACGGAAUAGUCUCGGGAAACUGGGGGUAAUACCGUAUACGCCCUAUUGGGGAAAGAUUUAUCGGAGAAGGAUUAGCCCGCGUUGGAUUAGGUAGUUGGUGGGGUAAUGGCCUACCAAGCCGACGAUCCAUAGCUGGUUUGAGAGGAUGAUCAGCCACACUGGGACUGAGACACGGCCCAGACUCCUACGGGAGGCAGCAGUGGGGAAUCUUAGACAAUGGGGGCAACCCCGAUCUAGCCAUGCCGCGUGAGUGAUGAAGGCCUUAGGGUUGUAAAGCUCUUUCAGCUGGGAAGAUAAUGACGGUACCAGCGGAAGAAGCCCCGGCUAACUCCGUGCCAGCAGCCGCCGUAA
rnacentral:rRNA from 1 species